CAGUAGCCGCGGUAAUACAGAGGGUGCGAGCGUUAAUCGGAUUUACUGGGCGUAAAGCGUGCGUAGGCGGCUUCUUAAGUCGGAUGUGAAAUCCCUGAGCUUAACUUAGGAAUUGCAUUCGAUACUGGGAAGCUAGAGUAUGGGAGAGGAUGGUAGAAUUCCAGGUGUAGCGGUGAAAUGCGUAGAGAUCUGGAGGAAUACCGAUGGCGAAGGCAGCCAUCUGGCCUAAUACUGACGCUGAAGUACGAAAGCAUGGGGAGCAAACAGGAUUAGAUACCCCAGUAGUCCCUGUCUCUUAUAC
rnacentral:rRNA from 1 species